AGUGAACGCUGGCGGUAGGCCUAACACAUGCAAGUCGAACGGCAGCACAGUAGGAGCUUGCUCUUACGGGUGGCGAGUGGCGGACGGGUGAGGAAUACAUCGGAAUCUACUUUUUCGUGGGGGAUAACGUAAGGAAACUUACGCUAAUACCGCAUACGACCUACGGGUGAAAGCAGGGGAUCUUCGGACCUUGCGCGAUUGAAUGAGCCGAUGUCGGAUUAGCUAGUUGGCGGGGUAAAGGCCCACCAAGGCGACGAUCCGUAGCUGGUCUGAGAGGAUGAUCAGCCACACUGGAACUGAGACACGGUCCAGACUCCUACGGGAGGCAGCAGUGGGGAAUAUUGGACAAUGGGCGCAAGCCUGAUCCAGCCAUACCGCGUGGGUGAAGAAGGCCUUCGGGUUGUAAAGCCCUUUUGUUGGGAAAGAAAAGCAGCAGGUUAAUACCCCGCUGUUCUGACGGUACCCAAAGAAUAAGCACCGGCUAACUUCGUG
rnacentral:rRNA from 1 species